rnacentral:rRNA from 1 species
UGGGGAAUUUUGGACAAUGGGCGAAAGCCUGAUCCAGCAAUGCCGCGUGUGUGAAGAAGGCCUUCGGGUUGUAAAGCACUUUUGUCCGGAAAGAAAUCCUUGGCUCUAAUACAGUCGGGGGAUGACGGUACCGGAAGAAUAAGCACCGGCUAACUACGUGCCAGCAGCCGCGGUAAUACGUAGGGUGCAAGCGUUAAUCGGAAUUACUGGGCGUAAAGCGUGCGCAGGCGGUUUGCUAAGACCGAUGUGAAAUCCCCGGGCUCAACCUGGGAACUGCAUUGGUGACUGGCAGGCUAGAGUAUGGCAGAGGGGGGUAGAAUUCCACGUGUAGCAGUGAAAUGCGUAGAGAUGUGGAGGAAUACCGAUGGCGAAGGCAGCCCCCUGGGCCAAAUACUGACGCUCAUGCACGAAAGCGUGGGGAGCAAACAGGAUUAGAUACCCUGGUAGUCCACGCCCUAAACGAUGUCAACUAGUUGUUGGGGAUUCAUUUCCUAGUAACGUAGCUAACGCGUGAAGUUGACCGCCUGGGGAGUACGGUCGCAAGAUU